rnacentral:misc_RNA from 1 species
GUGAAUCAUCGAAUUUUUGAACGCAAAUUGCACUCCCUGGUAUUCCGGGGAGUAUGCCUGUUUGAGGGUCGUUAGAACAAAAAUCGAAGCGUCGCUCUUUUUUUUUUAAGGGUGAUCGGGUCGGAAUUGGGCCGGUUUUCAAAUGUUAAUUUAUGUCAAAGUGGCUUGAAAUUCAUCCAUCCGGUACGAAUAAAGGGUAUUUAAGAAUCACUUUG